GAUGAACGCUGGCGGCGUGCCUAAUACAUGCAAGUCGAGCGAACGGACGAGAAGCUUGCUUUUCUGAUGUUAGCGGCGGACGGGUGAGUAACACGUGGAUAACCUACCUAUAAGACUGGGAUAACUUCGGGAAACCGGAGCUAAUACCGGAUAAUAUUUUGAACCGCAUGGUUCAAAAGUGAAAGACGGUCUUGCUGUCACUUAUAGAUGGAUCCGCGCUGCAUUAGCUAGUUGGUAAGGUAACGGCUUACCAAGGCAACGAUGCAUAGCCGACCUGAGAGGGUGAUCGGCCACACUGGAACUGAGACACGGUCCAGACUCCUACGGGAGGCAGCAGUAGGGAAUCUUCCGCAAUGGGCGAAAGCCUGACGGAGCAACGCCGCGUGAGUGAUGAAGGUCUUCGGAUCGUAAAACUCUGUUAUUAGGGAAGAACAUAUGUGUAAGUAACUGUGCACAUAUUGACGGUACCUAACCAGAAAGCCACGGCUAACUACGUG
rnacentral:rRNA from 1 species